AGUGAACGCUGGCGGCGUGCUUAACACAUGCAAGUCGAACGAGAACGGAUUAUAGCUUGCUAUAAUUGUCAGCUAAGUGGCGCACGGGUGAGUAAUAUAUAGAUAACCUGCCCUCUAGAAAGGAAUAACAGUUGGAAACGACUGCUAAUGCCCUAUAUGCCUUUAAUACAUAAGUAUGCAAGGGAAACGCUUUAGUGCUAGAGGAUGGGUCCUGUAUGGUAUCAGCUUGUUGGUGAGGUAAUGGCUCACCAAGGCUAUGACGCCUAACUGGUUUGAGAGGAUGAUCAGUCACACUGGAACUGAGACACGGUCCAGACUCCUACGGGAGGCAGCAGUGGGGAAUAUUGCACAAUGGACGAAAGUCUGAUGCAGCAACGCCGCGUGGAGGAUGACACAUUUCGGUGCGGUUAAAACUCCUUUUUAUAUAGGAAGAUAAAUGACGGUACUAUAUGAAUAAG
rnacentral:rRNA from 1 species